GGAUGGUCCAAUGGUAGUGGGUUAUCAGAAUUUAUUAACAUCAGUGUCACUGAAAUUGAUAUAUAACUCCCCACUGACUGGAUUUAAA
rnacentral:sRNA from 1 species